CCAUAGUAGAAAUAAGCAAGUAGUCUAAAGAACCUUUUAAAUCCAAACUAAGUCACACAUGAAGAAGAUUGGAAAAAUAAUUCAAAGAUGAUGGUUGAGCAUACAAUCAAGUUGAGUGAAAUGUAAUUAUUUUGAGAAAAAAACCUAUAAUUUUAGUUUAGUUACAAGAUUUCUAUCCUUGAGGCAUUAUAAAUAUGAUUUUGUAUUAAUUUAAAAAGAAUAUUUUAUUGAGAAUGCAAGGAGAAUAGAUGGAGAGAUUGUCAUCAAA
rnacentral:lncRNA from 1 species